rnacentral:rRNA from 1 species
AUGGCGGCAUCGGCAGCCCACGUCGCGGCGCUGGCCGCCGUCCUCCUCUUCAUCCCUUCCCUCCUCGCCACUGUCGCCGCGCAGCAGGGCAAGGCCAAGGCCUUCUGCAUCAGCCAGUUCGCCAUCGCCAGUCAGGCCUGCUCCAUCCUGCCGCCCAGCCCCCCGGAGGACGACCAUCACCACCACCACGACGAUGAUGAUGACGACGACGACGACGAUGAUGAUGACGACGACGACGACGAGCACCAUGGCGGUGACGGUGACCGCCGCCUCCGUGGACGCCAUGGCCACGCGGCGGUCAUCAACAUCUCGUCCCUUGGCCUGAUGGCGGCAAACAAUGACAGCAACGGCGUUCACGUUGCAAGAAACGGCACCGGUCACCAUGGUGGCAACCACACCCGCCACGGGCGCGGGCGCAGACGCGGGCGCGGGCGUCUUCGUGGUACUGGACACGGCCGGCGUGGGCGUGUGCGCGACGGUAAUGAGGACCCCGACCAUGACGACGACCACGAGGAGGACCCCGACCAUGACGACGACCACGAGGAGGACCCCGACCACGACGACGACCAUGACGACGAACAUGACGACGACGACGACGACGAUGACGACGACGACCACGAGCACAAUGACGACGACCACGAGCACCACCACGACGAGGAGCUCCGGGCGUACCGCGACUGCUGCCGGUGGCUCCAGGAGGUGCAGAAGGACUGUGUGUGCGAGGCGCUCCUGCGGCUGCCGCCGUUCCUCGUAAAGCCACAGCACAAGUACGUCGUCCGGGUUGGGCGGACGUGCCGGAUCGUCUACCGCUGCGGCGGCGUGUAG